UGGGGGAUAUUGCACAAUGGGCGCAAGCCUGAUGCAGCGACGCCGCGUGGGGGAUGAAGGCCUUCGGGUUGUAAACUUCUUUUGCUCUGAACAAGGCGCACUUUGGGGUGUGUUGAGUGUAGGGAUUGAUUAGCGCCGGCUAACUACGUGCCAGCAGCCGCGGUAAUACGUAGGGCGCGAGCGUUGUCCGGAAUUAUUGGGCGUAAAGGGCUUGUAGGUGGCUGGUUGCGUCUGUCGUGAAAGCUCAUGGCUUAACUGUGGGUUUGCGGUGGGUACGGGCUGGCUUGAGUGCAGUAGGGGAGGCUGGAAUUCCUGGUGUAGCGGUGGAAUGCGCAGAUAUCAGGAGGAAUACCGGUGGCGAAGGCGGGUCUCUGGGCUGUUACUGACACUGAGGAGCGAAAGCAUGGGGAGCGAACAGG
rnacentral:rRNA from 1 species